GAGGUAUUGAGGAUUGAACCCAGGGCCUUGCACAAGCGAGGGUCCAGGACUGGCCUGCACACGCCCCGGCCACGGGUGUCAGGAACUGUGGGAAACCUGGCUGGCGGAGAUAACAUUUGAUAAACGGGGUGAAGACGCCUUCCUCCCUCAGCCCUUCUUCCAGACACCCCGGCUUCUUUAUGGCUUUGCCCAGAAGGUCAUCAAGAUAGAGAGCUCGCUUGGGAAGGGGAUGACUUACGCAGUUGGCUUGUAUAAAUCUGGAGAAGCUUUAUGCACAAGUCGGACAGGAAAUGGAGGGCCAAGAGAGUAAAGCAAGGCCACAUCCCAGUGCUCCAGGGGCCCCACGCUCAGGGAAAGUUGCACAGGCCUGCGGUCCUUAGGGAAAUGUGAGUCAGCACCAUAACAAAAACCACUGAACGCCUGCCAAGAAUCAACACCGAUAACCGAGGACAGGAUGUGGAGAAAAUGGAGCCCUCGUGGGUUGCUGGUAUGAGCGAAAUGGGGAUAUCCAGAAGACGGAAACCCACCAAAACAAGGCAGACUGGGAUUUGGCAGCCGUUGUGGAAGGGGUGACGGAGAGCAGUGCUUCUUGGGGCAGCCUUUCUGUCAGCUUUCCAUGACGGAAACAAAAUGCCUGAGACAAGUUACCAAGAGAAAAGAGUUGGAGGAGUAAUCAAAACAGCUUGGUAUUGGCAUAAGA